UGCAAGUUCGAACGAUGAUGACUGAAGCUUGCUUUGGUUUGAUUAGUGGCGAACGGGUGAGUAACACGUGAGUAACCUGCCCCUCACUUCGGGAUAACCAUUGGAAACGGUGGCUAAUACUGGAUAUGACACAUGGCCGCAUGGUCUGUGUGUGGAAAGAUCUUUUUUGGUGGGGGAUGGGCUCGCGGCCUAUCAGCUUGUUGGUGGGGUGAUGGCCUACCAAGGCUUUGACGGGUAGCCGGCCUGAGAGGGCGACCGGCCACACUGGGACUGAGACACGGCCCAGACUCCUACGGGAGGCAGCAGUGGGGAAUAUUGCACAAUGGGGGAAACCCUGAUGCAGGGACGCCGCGUGGGGGAUGAAGGCCUUCGGGUUGUAAACCCCUUUCCGUUGGGGACAAGGCCAUGAUUGUUGUUGUGGUUGAGGGUACUUGCAGAAGAAGCGCCGGCUAACUACGUGCCAGCAGCCGCGGUAAUACGUAGGGCGCAAGCGUUGUCCGGAAUUAUUGGGCGUAAAGAGCUCGUAGGCGGUUUGUCGCGUCUGCCGUGAAAUCCCGAUGCUUAACGUCGGGCUUGCGGUGGGUACGGGCAGGCUAGAGUGCGGUAGGGGUGACUGGAAUUCCUGGUGUAGCGGUGGAAUGCGCAGAUAUCAGGAGGAACACCGAUGGCGAAGGCAGGUCACUGGGCCGUUACUGACGCUGAGGAGCGAAAGCAUGGGGAGCGAACAGGAUUAGAUACCCUGGUAGUCCAUGCCGUAAACGUUGGGCACUAGGUGUUGGGGAUUGUUCCACGAUUCCUGUACCGUAGCUAACGCAUUAAGUGCCCCGCCUGGGGAGUACGGCCGCAAGGCUAAAACUCAAAGGAAUUGACGGGGGCCCGCACAAGCGGCGGAGCAUGCGGAUUAAUUCGAUGCAACGCGAAGAACCUUACCAAGGCUUGACAUACACCGGAACUACUCAAGAGAUGGGUGGGUCUUCGGACUGGUGUACAGGUGGUUGCAUGGUUGUCGUCAGCUCGUGUCGUGAGAUGUUUGGGUUAAGUCCCGCAACGAGCGCAACCCUUAUUCCAUGUUGCCAGCACGUGAUGGUGGGGACUCAUGGGAGACUGCCGGGGUCAACUCGGAGGAAGGUGGGGACGACGUCAAAUCAUCAUGCCCCUUAUGUCUUGGGCUUCACGCAUGCUACAAUGGCCGGUACAAAGGGUUGCGAUACCGUGAGGUGGAGCGAAUCCCAAAAAGCCGGUCUCAGUUCGGAUUGGGGUCUGCAACUCGACCCCAUGAAGUCGGAGUCGCUAGUAAUCGCAGAUCAGCAACGCUGCGGUGAAUACGUUCCCGGGCCUUGUACACACCGCCCGUCAAGUCACGAAAGUUGGUAACACCCGAAGCCGAUGGCCUAACCACUUGGGGGGGAGU
rnacentral:rRNA from 1 species